GGCGGUGUAGCUCAGCUGGUUAGAGCACACGGUUCAUACCCGUGGAGUCGCUGGUUCGAGUCCAGCCACCGCUACCA
rnacentral:tRNA from 2 species